rnacentral:rRNA from 1 species
AUUGAACGCUGGCGGAAUGCUUUACACAUGCAAGUCGAACGGCAGCACGGGUGCUUGCACCUGGUGGCGAGUGGCGAACGGGUGAGUAAUACAUCGGAACGUACCCAGUCGUGGGGGAUAACGUAGCGAAAGUUACGCUAAUACCGCAUACGUCCUGAGGGAGAAAGCGGGGGACCGUAAGGCCUCGCGCGAUUGGAGCGGCCGAUGUCUGAUUAGCUAGUUGGUGAGGUAAAGGCUCACCAAGGCGACGAUCAGUAGCUGGUCUGAGAGGAUGAUCAGCCACACUGGAACUGAGACACGGUCCAGACUCCUACGGGAGGCAGCAGUGGGGAAUUUUGGACAAUGGGCGAAAGCCUGAUCCAGCCAUUCCGCGUGAGUGAAGAAGGCCUUCGGGUUGUAAAGCUCUUUCGGCAGGAACGAAACGCUCUAGAUUAAUACUCUGGGGUAAUGACGGUACCUGAAGAAGAAGCACCGGCUAACUACGUGCCAGCCGCCGCAGUAAUAC